rnacentral:rRNA from 1 species
GAUGAACGCUGGCGGCGUGCUUAAUACAUGCAAGUCGAGCGAACAGACGAGGAGCUUGCUCCUCUCACGUUAGCGGCGGACGGGUGAGUAACACGUGGAUCACCCACCUAUCAGACUGGGAUAACUUCGGGACACCGGCUAUAAUACCGGAUAAUAUACUGAACCGCAUGGUUCAAUAGUGAAAGACGGUUUUGCUGUCACUUAUAGAUGGAUCCGGGCUGCUUUAGAUAGUUGGUAAGGUAACGGCCUAUCAAGGCGACGAUGCGUAGCCGACCGGAGAGGGGGGUCGGCCGCACUGGAAGUGAGACAGGGUCCAUAGUCCUGAGGGAGGCAGCAGUAGGGAAUCUGCCGCAAUGGGCGGGAGCUUUGCGGAACAGGGCGGAGUGAGUGAUGAAGAUGUUCGGUUCGUAAAACUCUGUUAUGAGGGAAGAACAGAUGUGGAAGGAAAUAUGCAGGGCUUGACGGUAACGGGUCAGAAAGCAACGGCUAACUACGUG